rnacentral:lncRNA from 1 species
CUCCACCACUUCCUUCAAAGCACACAUCUUGGAUCGACGAGAACCGCUUAAUCAACUUCUUCGAUCUUGGGACCAGCACUGCUGCCACCAGCAGGAGGAACAUCUUCAUCCAUGCCGCCACCGACAUCAGGUCCACCAGCACCACCCUGGUACAUCUUGGCAAUGAUCGGAUUGCAGAUGCUCUCCAGCUCCUUCAUCUUGUCCUCAAACUCGUCGGCCUCAGCAAGCUGGUUUCCGUCAAGCCAUUGGAUGGCCUGGUCAAUUGCAUCCUCAAUCUUCUUCUUGUCAGCUGCGUCUAGCUUGGAGGCAAUCUUAUCGUCCUUGAUCGUGUUCCUCAUAUUGUAGGCGUAAUUCUCCAGAGCAUUCUUGGCCUCCACCUUCUUCUUGUGCUCCUCAUCUUCUGACUUGUACUUCUCAGCCUCUUGAACCAUCUUUUCAAUUUCUUCCUUCGACAAUCUUCCCUUGUCAUUGGUGAUGGUAAUCUUGUUCUUCUGCCCUGUAGUCUUGUCUUCAGCCGAGACGUUCAAUAUACCGUUGGCAUCAAUAUCAAAGCAGACAGUGAUUUGCGGAACACCCCUUGGAGCAGGAGGAAUGCCAGAAAGCUCAAAUUUUCCCAACAAGUUGUUAUCACGAGUCCUUGUCCUUUCACCCUCAUAUACUUGGAUCAAGACACCGGGCUGAUUGUCUGAGUAGGUUGAGAACACUUGCUCCUUCUUGGUUGGAACAGUAGUGUUCCUUGGAAUCAACACAGUCAUCACACCUCCGGCAGUCUCCAAACCAAGGGACAGAGGAGUGACAUCCAGAAGCAAUAGAUCCUGCACCUUCUCAUUACCCUCACCGCUCAAGAUGGCAGCCUGCACGGCGGCACCAUAAGCUACAGCCUCGUCUGGGUUGAUGCUCUUGCAUAGCUCCUUGCCAUUGAAGAAGUCUUGCAACAACUGCUGUACCUUCGGAAUCCUAGUAGAGCCACCCACUAGCACAACAUCAUGGACCGUGCUCUUGUCCAUCUUUGCAUCUCUCAAACACUUCUCAACGGGCUCCAUACACUUUCUGAAGAGAUCCAUGUUAAGCUCUUCAAACCUGGCACGGGUAAUGGUUGAGUAGAAAUCAACACCCUCGUACAAAGAAUCAAUCUCAAUUGUGGUCUGAGCAGUGGAGGAGAGAGUCCUCUUUGCCCUCUCACAAGCAGUUCUCAACCUCCUAAGAGCUCUUGGGCUGCUGCUGAUGUCCUUCUUGUGCUUCCUCUUGAACUCUUGAACAAAGUGAUUCACCAUUCUGUUGUCGAAAUCUUCUCCUCCCAAGUGGGUGUCUCCGGCAGUUGCCUUCACUUCAAAGAUACCCUCUUCAAUUGUGAGCAGGGAGACAUCAAAAGUGCCUCCGCCAAGAUCGAAAAUCAAGACAUUCUUCUCCCCAACGCUGGUUGCCUUCUUGUCAAGACCGUAUGCAAUAGCGGCAGCGGUGGGCUCAUUGAUAAUACGCAAAACAUUAAGGCCGGCAAUGACCCCAGCAUCCUUUGUGGCCUGACGCUGAGAAUCGUUGAAGUAAGCCGGGACAGUAACAACGGCAUUCUUUAUAGAUGAGCCAAGAUAGGCCUCAGCAAUCUCACGCAUCUUGACGAGAACCAUGGAGGAAAUUUCUUCAGCAGCGAACUGCUUCUCUUCGCCCUUGUAUAUGACAACAAUCAUGGGCUUGUCACCGGGGCCGGGAAUGACCUUGAAAGGCCAGUGCUUCAUGUCACCCUGGACAGAAGGGUCAGAGUAUCUCCUACCAAUCAACCGCUUGGCAUCUGAAAAAUUAACCAAGCUCGUUUAAAAUACUAAUUUAUUAAUUACGCAUAACACAGAACAUGCUACCAAUCAAGCUAAAUCCUUUAAAUAUUAUCAAAAAUAAAAAUAACCAAACAGAUCAAGCUUCAAACACUACAAGCUCAGACAGCGUUUCUAAAAUUUCACCAUCAAUUAACAAGAAACUUAAAACCCAAAUUAUAAUUUUUAAGAGAUUAACUAAAACUCAAAGCCUUGAUCACCAAGUACAAUAUUUGAUAGUCCUUUAAUAUUAACUACAUAAAUCCUGCAAAUAACAAUAAAUAAAAAAAUCAACCAUUUUUUUUCUUUUUCAAUUCGCUAUAAAAAGAUUCAAGGCAGGCAAAAACCUCGCAUAAAAUUAGCUCCAUCGUAAUUUAUCACACCGAACCUCAAAAAGAGAAGUACUUUCAAGGAAAUUGAACUCUUUUUCUCAGAAAUUCAAGCAACAGAAAUCCAAAAACAGAAAAAUUUAAACCAGCAGCAAAUAUUGACAGUAAAUUCAUAAAAUCAGCCAUACAAGCAUAUAGAUCAGACAGUACAGAGUAAAAUUGAUUCAAAAAACGCAACAUGCAAGGCAACAAAAAAAAAAACAUCAUAACAUCAGAAAUAUCGCAAGAAAAGAGAAGAAUUUCGAUUCUUACCAAAGACGGUGUUGACGGGGUUCAUCGCUACCUGGUUCUUGGCCGCAUCGCCGAUCAACCUCUCCGUGUCAGUAAACGCCACGUAAGACGGAGUCGUCCGGUUGCCCUGAUCAUUGGCGAUGAUCUCGACACGAUCGUGUUGCCAAACACCGACGCACGAGUAAGUGGUUCCGAGAUCGAUCCCGAUCGCUGGCCCCUCUCCCUUUCCCGCCAUUGCAACCGCAGAGAUUCAAGCAAUCGAACAAGCAAAGAAUCGCAGAUAAAAUUAAAGAUCGAACCGCAGAGAAAAGUAAAGAGCUUCUGAGAUUUUUUGUGCAAUGGGCUGUUCGUAGUCACAGGUGUUGGAUUAAGAGUAGUGAAUUGGGGGGCUAUAUAGUAGGACACUUGUCUAGAAUGUUCGUGAGGAUAUUGACGAUUUUUGGUGGGAGGGUGUCCAGAAUGUUCGGUUUGAUAACGGCCGUUGGAUUCGAGUGUCGUGGACGGUGAUGAUUUGAUUUGCUUCGCGGGGUUGGUUUCUUUACUUUUUGAUCGAAACUUCGUGUCCACUCCCUUCGUCGUCGGAAAUUUGUCUUCUCGUCAAUUUCCUUGUUGGAAAACGUUUCACAGGACGGUGGCGUUUUGCGUGUGGGCUGUGACUUGACUUUUGGGCUUUCGAAGGGCUUUGAAUCCAAACGUGUUUGGGUCAGGCUGCACUGCAGUCCUUAUGGUAUGUGUUUGUGCAAUACUGUUUACAAUUGCUUUUGGACCAAAUGUAAUGGUUGAGUUAAAGCUUAAAAUUUAAGAAAAAUUAAUGAAAAUGAUUUGAAAACUUUAAGUUUUAACAAUAAAGAUAAAAUAAAGGGUAAAAUGAAUAGUAUCAGGAUUGACUUUUUAGUGUAAAAAUAUGAUUUUUCGUUAAAUUGAACAGUACUGUGAGCUUUUCGUUAAAGUUCUCUAAAAUUUAAUCUUUAUAUUAUAUCCCCCAAGGCAUUUCCAAUUAUUACUCUCUUUUAGUAUUUUUUGGCAUCAAUCCUUGGUAAAAUGCAAGUGAGUCAUGUGAAAGCACUUUAAGUGCUUUUAGGUCUCGUUUGGCAGUUCAGACUAUACUGACUAUUUCAGUCGGAUAGAAUAAUCUAUCACCGGAUUGUACUGACUAAAUUAAUUGAGUGUUUGGUGCAGUAUCAUACUAAUUACCGUAUUAUUUAUAAUCUAUUUGUUACCGUAUCCGAUACGAGAUCGGAUUAUAUUAUUUUUACUAAAAAAAUUUGAUGACUAAUGAAAAAAAGGAAAUAAUUUUUUGAUAAAAAUUCAGAACAACCAAAUGCAUCAAAUUAAAUAAAAAUAAUCUUGAUAUUGCAUUUUCUAUUUGUCCUUUAUUUAAAUCAAAUUAUUAAAAAAAAAAAAAAUCAUUUCUUCCCUAGAUCUUCUCCACUGCACAUGAUUCACCAUACCAAAUGGGAUGGACAAUAGAAUCAGCAUAAACCCUAUACCCAAUAGCAUGAGACUUCUUCCCAAAUGUUCUAUGCAUGUGAGAUUGCUCCCUGAUCUCUCACAUUUCUUUCCAUGAGGAGUCAACCCAAUUCCAACGAUGCUGCAGCGAUGUUGAGCAGUAGGUGAAUGCAGGCGGUGCUCCGACGACGUGGGUUUCAGUUGGAUCUAGUUCAAAUCUAGGAUCGAUGGCACGCGAACCCGUGCAGGCAGAGCCGGCCCUGCGGGUGUACAACAGGUGCCACCGCACAAGGCCACCAAUUCGGAAGGGCCCCUAAAUUUUCAUUACAUAUAUACAGAUGCAUAUAAAAUAGAUUAGAUGCAAAAAAAUAAUCUUAUCUAUGGUUCUAGCGUAAGCGAUUUAGCUCUUCUUUCUUCUAGCUCAUGUGUUGGGUUUGAAUCCCAAUGAUAUUGUUUUGUUAUAUUUUAAGCUUUUGCAAAUUUGUAAACAGGAGAUAAUUUGUUAUAUUUUAAGCUUUUGCAAAUUUGUAAACAAGAGAUAACAAAAAGGCAUUCAACGUGUAUCAAACUCAGGACCUUUGAAGGUAAGGAAAAACACCUGGCUAAUCAAACAACUUAUUUUUGUUGCAGUAACUUGUAAUAUUUUAGUUUUAUAGAUGAAAAAAUUGAAAAAAAAUAAUAAUAAAGAAAUAUAACAUUAAAAAAAAUGAAGGGCCUCCAUCUAAGUUUUGCACAUGGCCCCUCAUUACUCAGGGCCGGCCCUGCGUGCAGGUCCUACAACGAGGAACUGUAGAGGAGGGCGACGGCCGCGACGAGAAACUAAAGAGGAGGGCGACAACUAUAAAGUGCAAAAGGAAGAAGAAGAUGAAGAAGAAAUGAGAAGGAUGAAGAAGAACCUGGGGUUGAAGAUGGAAACAGAAGUGAGUUUGUAGAAUGAUGCGAGAAAGCCAGACCGAUAGAGGGAGGACACAGACCCGACUAAUAAUACAUAGGUUUUUGGAAGGAUAAAUAGCGGCCAUACACCGGAUAAAAGAUGUAGGCCUAGUUUAAGUAAUACGGGUACUAUUUAGUACAUAGUUGCACCAAACACCCGGCUCCAUAUAACUUAUCCUAUAUGAUUCCUUGUACAACUCACAAAUGAGGCCUUAGAACCCGAAAAUAUUUUCACUAAAAGUCAUUUCAUUCAUUUUAAAAGCACUUCCAAAAAAGCUCUUAAUAAAGCAUAAUGAUUGGAAAUGUUUGGGAGGGACAUUGCAUUUGAUCUAAAAGCAUUUCUAAACUGAUUCAUCAUGUAUUGCACAAACACACACCAUAUGAACUGUAGUGAAUCAAAUUUCACGCAACAUACUCUAUAAAUACCUAUGUAUUUAUUCAAACAUCCACACAAAAUUAGGAUAAUCUACAUAAUGUGUAGAAAUGAUUUUUCAUAUGUGUAUGAACUUGUGUUUAAGAAUGGGGUGGAUUUGUGUGAUUUUUUUUAUUAUUUAUUAGAAUUCUAAUAUUUUUAGCUUAAAAUAUAAAUAAAAAUAAAUUAGUAUAAUCUACGUAAUUUUUUUUUUAAAUUAUCGUGAAAAAAAUUAAGCUAAAAUUAAUUUUUAAUAAUUUGGGGCUUCAAUUAAAAAAAGCCAUAACUAUUGGAAGUAAAAAACUUUUUAUAGGUUAUACCUUAAAAUUUCAUGUUUAACUCACACCAUUGCACAUUGUUUUACAACUGAUUUUAUAAUGCUCAUUAGCGUUUCUUCUACAAGGAACUACUGCUACAGAACUAAUAGCCUCCAUAGCCUCAGCUGCUUUGAUGACUUAUAACUUCUCCAAAGCAGAUGUCAAAAUUGCCACAUAGACAUAUACUCGAACCGAGCCUUCAAUUUCCUAUACGGCGUUGAGUCAAUUGAAGACAAAGUAUUCUGUUGUCAAAUCCAUUUAGUAUUUUUCUAAUAAAUUUAAUGCAAAUAUAAUAAACGUUGUGUAUUCUAAGAAUUUGAUUGGUUGCCUACAUAAAUAGACCCCACAAAGUGAUUAAUUUUUUUUUAAAUGACAUUAUUGUUUAACAUAUCGGGUGGUAAAAAGAAUUACUCCACAAAGUGAUUAAUUUUUUUUAAAUGACAUUAUUAUUUAACAUAUCGGGUGGUGAAAAGAACAAUAAAGACAAAAUUCAAACAGGAAAUCUGAGAGAAUUUUGUAAAAAAAAAAAAGGCUUCUUUGGCAAAAUACCGGAAUACGAUAUUGAACAAAAUGACCAAAAUCACCAAACAUCCUACAUCUUGGAUUUUAGAAUCCCAUAAAAAAGUACCCAAUUCCAAACCUUAAACUAAGAAACAGAAAAAUACGUUCACCACUUUCUUCAAAGCAAACACUUUGGAUCAACAAAAACCGCUUACUCAACUUCUUCGAUAAUAAUAUUGGGACCAGCACCGCUGCCAGCAGCAGGAGGAAAGUUCCCCCAGCACCCUGUUCCCUGGUACAUCUCGGCACUGAUCGAAUUGCAGAUGCUCUCCAGCUCCUUCUUCUUUUCCUCAAACUCGUCAGCCUCAGCAAGCUUGUUUCCGUCAAGAAAAAGAAAGUAUCUCGAUUCUUACCCAGGACGGUGUUGACGGGGUUCACGGCGACCUGGUUCUUGGCCGCAUCGCCGAUCAGCAUCUCCGUAUCAGUAAACGCCACGUAAGACGGCGUCGUGCGGUUACUCUGAUCAUUAACGAUGAUCUCGACGCGGUCGUGUUGCCAAACACCGACGCACGAGUAAGUAGUUCCGAGAUCUAUACCGAUCGCUGGCCCCUCUCCCUUUCCCGCCAUUGCAACUGCUGAGAUUUAAUCCAUCAAACAAGCAAAGAACCGCAGAGAAAAGUAAAGAGCUUUUGAGAUUUUUGGGCGAUAGGUAAAGAAACUUAGCUAGGAACAAAUCUCAGUUUGUAAAAAUUUCCCGCCUUUUUGUAAGGUAAUGCUAGGGAGACUAAAUUUACAAAUUAAAUUAUGUAUUAUCAACAAAAAUGAGUACCUUUAUUCAUGUUUAAGUAAUAAAUCAAUUAUCAACUUCUAUGUUCUUUAGUUUUCAAAAUUUAGUAUACAAAUUUAGUCUUUCAAACAUUUCUCUUUUUUGCAUGUCCAUGUGGAAUACCAUUUUCCCAUCAUAGGUAGGGUUUUUUUUUCUUUUCCCGUUCACGCAUAAAGACAUUCUUAUAGUAACAAUACGCUAAGGUACAAUGUCUAAUUUUAAUAUUUGUACUUAUCAAGAGACAUUCUUUCAUUUUAAUUUUUUUUAGUUGAAAAUUUGUAUGAACUUUUACACCGUUAUAUUUAAAUUAAGAUACUGCAAGCCUCUUAACUUGAAAAGAGAAAAACGCAUAAAGCCUAUUAAACCAUUAUUUAACUGAUAAAAUAGUAUAUAAUAAAGAAGUUAGUAGAAAACCUAUCGUAAAUACAAACAAAAUGACUUGCACCAAAGCCUAGUAAACCAAAAAGAAAUGAUGAGAAUGUAGAGAGGAUAUUAAUAUUUGUAAAUGUAAAGAACUAAGGGGGUGUUGUUGCGCAGGACUAUCUCAGACUGGACUAGCUUUAAGGACUAAGCUGGACUAGUUUAGACUAGACUAAGCUGGACUAACUUAGUGAAGCGUUUGAUGCAGUGUUGGACUAAGAAGUUGGAUAAUAACAAAUUCUAAUAUUAUAAUAUUUUAUUAUGAUCUAGGUGACCGGAGAUGACGAGGAGUCUAUCGGGAGUGGUUGUUGAGCAUGAUGAGGACGAGAGAGGAUAGUCUUAGCUAGUCCCAUGAUUAUUGGGGGUCUCGCUAAGACUUCUUAGUGAAGGAUUUUGUCCAUGUUAGUCCCCUUUAGUCUCAUUAAUGUUAGUCCCAGCAUGGAACAAACACAGUAUUGGACUAACAGCUAGUCCAAUCCAGUCCAAUCCCACUUAGUGAGGGCAAACAAACGCCCCCUAAAUGAAACGUACACCCAUUACUGGUCCAAAUCUGUAAUCCUUAUUUUAGAUUGCUAAAAUGAAACUGAAAAUGAACGAUGCUAAGUAUACAUGUAUGCUGUCUUUGCUUGCGAAACUCAAGCAAUUUGCUAAAGCUGAGAAACUCUAUACUGAAUAGAACUCUAUUUCGGAGACACUAGGGUUUCAAAUAUACUCCUUGCAGCAUACAUCAAAGAAAACCAAACGAAAGUACUGAAACCUUUUGUUUAUACCAUAUUUAGGGCCUUGUAUUUAGACCUCGUAUAAAUACUCAGGAGACUUAAAUGUAAUUAUGUAAUAAAGGAAGGGGUAAAUAUGUAAUUAGGGGAGGAGCCCUUAUUCUAUAAAAGGGCCUCCUCACCCUCACAAACGGGGGGGGGGGGUCUCUCCUCAUCCCUCUCAAAGCUCUCACUCUCAGAGCUCUCUCUCCCUCAUUUCUCAGAGAAAUAUAAUACAAUCUGUGUUGACGUAGCCCAAACCUUGGGGUGAACCACGAUACAUCUUGUGUCAUUUACAUUACUUGCAGAUUCACGGUCGGAUUUACGUUGUUCCAAGACCUCCGGUUUUGUGCAUCAACAUUUGGCGCCGUCUGUGGGAAACGACACGAAAAGUUAUGUCGGUUCUCUCUCAAAUUUUCAUCUCACCACCGUGAAACCCUCACAACCUCCACCAUGAAUCUGUAGAAACCCAAUAACCAAACACCUAGAGAGUCACUGCAAAACCCAUGUCUUCCGUUCCAGCUCCCGGUCACGGCAGAAGCGAUGGAAACACAACCACCACCUCAUCUCUCUCUCUCUACAUUUUCUGUGCAGAUCUUGAGACCUAAAUCAGAACAUAAGCAUCAAUGUUACAAACUAAACCUGCAUCAGAAAAUAGAGCCUCAGUGCUUCUCAGCCGUUGGAUCCAUAGCGAAGCUCACCAGCUUCACCAUUUUGCUCGCCUUCUUGCUUUCCUGCUUCACUUUUGCUUCUACACAAACUCAAAAUCCCAAAUGGAUUUCAAGCUCCAAGCUCUGCUGUGCCUUGUAGUUCUUCAAGUUCUGGUCUUCUUCUCAAAGGAAGCAGAAGCAGCAGAACACAGCCAUGGCAGCAACUUGAGAGUCCACAAGAAGUAAGUGAGCAGCUGCAAUUUGUUCCAAGGCAAUCAAGGUUUUCACCUACCUUCGAAUCUGCCAUCUUAGUUAGAAGUCCACAAUCAAAUGAACUCCGAAUCCUCGAAUUCAACCGCUGCAGUUCUCUGGGCUCGAGGAUAGGUUGUGGCAGAAAUAACGAAAAAAACAGCCACUGAUGAUGCUGCAAACUCGCCACGGCCACCAGUGGAAAACCAACGAAAAAGGCCAAGAUGCGGAGGUUAGUGCAUCAACACACUUUGUUCCUUAAAGUCAAGGUCCGAGGAGCUGGCUGCGGGAGGAAGAAUGGGGCUGAUCUGGUUUGGAAGGAGUGGCCCAGAUCAUGUCGACAGAGGUAACAGUUUCUUCUGGCAGCCAAAAUUAAAGGUCCACUUCUCUUUCCUCUUUACACCAAUCACCAAAGUCAUCAUCCAUGGCUGCCUCAUCCUCUUCUGCAACCUUCAAGAAGGUCUCUUUUUGCCACCCUUAGCUUGCACAGCCCGCAACCAUCUGCCGCCUACUGCACCACCAUCUUCUCAAGUAGACAGCCACAUCCGGUUUCGUCAGGUCCAUACACGUGUCGCUGCAACUACAGACGCAAAUGGAGACGCCACUGUUUCACGUAGUGAACGGCAGCAAGUUCCAUGACUAUGAGCCGGUGAAGAGCCCACCUGGGCUGUUGCUGGUGUAUGUGCUGUUAUCAUCAUCAUCUCAUUAAUUUUGGAGAAGGUCCUACACAAAGUUCGAAAAUUCUGCACCUAAAAAGAAAUGGAGGGCACGACAAAAGAAGAAGAAAAUGGAGGAAAGGAAUAAAGAAAGAAAAAGGUGUUAGUGGAAUUGUAAACAAUUCCACAAAGAAGUGGAAGACUAUUCUGCACCUAAAAAGAAAUGGAGGGCACGACAAAAGAAAAAAAAAAUGGAUGUCUAGAGAAAAGCAGAAAGUAAAAGCAAAAAGCAAAAGAAGAUAUAAAGAAGUAGACAUAAUUGCAGUGGUGAUGACAUGUAGAAAAGGGAAUUAUGGGCGUGACCCAUUGAGCAGAGGGUGGGCUUUAUUUUUGAAUGAUGUGAUUUAUUUUUUUUAUCUCUAAGAAAUAUCUGUAUAAACCACAUCAGAGGGUAAUAAUACAAAAAAAAAAAAAAACGGCAAAGCCCAAAAUUAAUGGGCUGGCAUGUCAUGGAGGGCGAAUGCCCAUAAGCCCAAAAUAGCACCAACCAGGUGACCAAAAGUAUGCCCAGUACUCCAAAAAUUAUUCGGCAACUUGCCUCUAUUAUCACCAACCAGGUGACCAAAAGUACGCCCAGUACUCCAAAAUUAUUCGGCAACCUGCCGCUAUUACCACCAACCAGGUGAUGAAAUGUACAACCCGUACUCCAAUAUCAUUUGGCAACCAACCAUUCAUACCACCAACCAGGUGAUGAAAUGUACAAACCGUACUCUAAAAUAAUUUGGCAAUUAGCCAUUUAUGCCACCAACCAGGUGAUCAAAAGUACACCCAGUACUUCAAAAUUAUACAUGAGCACUACUCAUGUCAUUCGUACAUAGACAUUCAUGAGCAUCACUCAUAUCAAUCAUACAUAAACAUUUAUGAGCAUCACUCAUGUUAACAUUCAUGAGCAUCACUCAUGUUAACAUCCAUGAGCAUCACUCAUGUCAAUCAAACAUUCAUGAGCAUCACUCAUGACAAUCAGCUUCAAAAGUUUCAUUUACAAAGCCUUAGCUUCAAAAGAGUCAUUUACAAAAGCUCUAGCUUCAAAAGCUUCAUUUACAGAGCUCCAACUUCAAAAGCUUCAUUUACAAAAGCUCUAGCUUCAAAAACUUCAUUUACAGAGCUCCAGCUUCAAAGCUUCACUUGCAAAGCUUCACCUACAAAGCUUCAGUGCAUGGUCUACAAAGACCGCCUCCGAACAACCGCCAUUUCAGCCCAUACAUGGAUUGAAUUUGAAGUCUCCAGCCAACAUCGUCUAUUGACCGAAGACUUGGGGGACUACAUUAUGUACCAUAUAUUAGGCCUCAACUGGGCCUUAUGAAAAAUACUUGGGGGACUCUAGCCCAUUAUUCAUGUACUGAGGAGCGAGCCCUUAUUUUAUAAAAAAGGACUCCCUCACCAUCAUUAGAGAGCAACGCCGCCAGCUGAACAACCGUCUCGCCGCCAGCAUCAACUCUAGCCUAUUAUUUAUGUAUUGAGGAGCGAGCCCUUAUUCUAUAAGAGGAACUCUCUCACUUUAAUUAGAGAGCACCCAUUAUUCAUGUACUGAGGAACGAGCCCUUAUUUUAUAAAAGGGACUCCCUCACCUUCAUUAGAGAGCAACGCCGCCAGCUGAGCAACCGUCUCACCGUGAGCAUCACUCCGAACCCAUAUUUAUGUAUUGAGGAGCAAGCCCUUAUUCUAUAAAAUAGACUCCCCUCACCACCAUUAGAGAGCAUCAACUCUAACCCAUCAUCCAUGUAUUGAGGAGUGAGCCUUUAUUCUAUAAAAGGGACUCCCUCACCUUCAAACGCUGCAAGCCGAGCUAACCAAGGCAACAUAAGCCACGAGCCGAGCAGCCUCGCAGCGUGUGCUACUUCUAGUUGAGCGUCAUUUUAGAUUGAGCACUGCCUCAUAUCGAACAUCAGUUCAAGACAGCAUCUAGUUACUUCGGCCCACACAUGGACUGAAUUUCAAGUCUCCAGCCAAAAGACUCUCUUGACUGAAGACUUGGGGGACUACUGUUUAUACCAUAUUUAGGGCCUCGUAUUUAGACCUCGUAUAAAUACUCGGGGGACUUAAAUGUAAUUAUGUAAUAAAGGAAGGGGCAAAUAUGUAAUUAGGGGAGGAGCCCUUAUUCUAUAAAAGGGCAUCCUCACCCUCACAAACGGGGGGGGGGGUCUCUCCUCAUCCCUCUCAAAGCUCUCACUCUCAGAGCUCUCUCUCCCUCACUUCUCAGAGAAAUAUAAUACAAUCAGUGUGGACGUAGCCCAAACCUUGGGGUGAACCACGAUACAUCUUGUGUCAUUUACAUUACUUGCAGAUUCACGGUCGGAUUUACGUUGUUCCAAGACCUCCGGUUUUGUGCAUCAACACCUUUCAUAGUCGGAUGGAGCAAAAUAUACUUCUUUCGUAUUUUCCCUAUGAAACCAACUUCAAAACUGAUAUACAAAUUAAAAAAUUUCAAACAUUCAAUUACCCAAAAACCACAGUGGUGGAAAUCAAGGCCGGCCCUAAGAAUUUAAGGGCCCUAUGCAAGAUUUAGAUGGAGGCCCUUCAUUUUUUAAUACUGUAUUUUCUUUGUUAUUUUUUUUUUCAAUUUGUAUCUAUAGAAUUUAAAUACUACAAAUUAGAGCACCACUUUGAGUGGACAAUUGAGUGUUUCUUGUCUUGAAAGGUCUUCAGUUUGAAAUAUGUUGCAUGGUUUUUUGUGUAAAACUUAACAACUUUUUAAGUUAAUAAAUUUGCAAAACUUAAAAAUAGCAUUUUUUUUCAAUUUGUAUCCAUAAAAUUUAAAUACUACAAAUUAGAGCACCACUUUGAGUGGACAAAAGUGUUUCUUGUCUUGAAGGGUCUUCAGUUUGAAAUAUGUUGCAUGAUUUUUUGUGUAAAACUUAUCAACUUUUUAAGUUAAUAAAUUUGCAAAACUUAAAAAUAGCAAAAUGGUUCUACAAGGACUUGGACUUGGGCCAUGUACAAGAAGAUAGAAUGCCUACACCACUAGCACUAGUGUGGUGAUUAUUAUUAUUUUGCACAUUUAAGUAUAUAAUAGGUAUCUGUUUACAUGUAAAGAAACUUUGGAGGCCCUUCCGAAUUUGGGGCCUUGUGCGGUGGCACUUUUUGCACACUCUCAGGGCCGGCUCUGGUGGAAAUGAAUUGAGCCAUUGCAUGACAGCGUGUUUUCGAACCCCAUCGGUGACUAAUCUAAUAAAACUUAUCGUUUGACAAAAAAAAUUCAAUUACCCAGAAACCAAAAAUGGAAAUUUUAUUAAAUUAAAUUAAAAUAAACUCAUUGGCAAAAGGAACAUAAAAAUGAAAAUUUCUACUAAAUUAAUUAAUACAAACUAAUGCGCAAGAGGAGCAUAAACAACCUUUUGAAUUAAUCUAAAGAGAUACAAACUAAAAAUACCGGUUGUGGAGCAAAAAAUAAUCACAAGGCGACACGUGGAUUCUUGGGUAAAAGAGGACAAAAAUACCCUUGAGGCAUACUGGGAUUCCUACGCGCGAGCAACGGGCAAUCAUCCCUCAACCAAGUCAAAAGUGCCCAAAAUAGGUAACAAUUUAAAGCCUAUUUCAUCAAAUCCUUUCUAUAAGGUAAUUCCUAAAACCUAAUUUAUUCUAUAUAUUUUGUAUUCCAUUAUUUAGCUAAUCAAUUAGCUAAAUGAUAUUUUCCUUUCAUAUUCCCUAAAAAUUGAUUAAUUAAGGGAUUAAUUACCUAAUCAAUCCCUUAAUUAUCAAUUAAAACACCCAUUCACACCUAAAACUACUAAGAGGUCGGCUACCUCCCUUUUCCUAACCUUUUUCACUUUUCUCCAUUUUAUUACCCCAUUUAUACAAAUAAUCAAUUUUGUAACUCCUAAUUAAACCUAAAUUAAACCCAAAAAACCCUAGCCACCUCCUAUCCCUAUAAAUAUACUCUCAUUCUCACCAAAAAAGCCAAUUCCAACACUUUGGCAAAAAUCCCAAAAUUCUCUAAACACUCUUUCUCUCUAAAUUCUAACUUUGGCAUCGGAGGUUCUUCGGCCAAACCCCCCCAUUCAUCGAGGGCGCACGAGGCUCUUGGCCUUAACCUAAGGUGUUAAUUGUUUUGUAGGUGCAAAAUUGUCCAAGAUCAAGGAGGAAGAAAUUUGCAUCCACAAAUUGGUGCUUUCAUUGAGAGUUGAAAUCCAUACUCGUAGAAGACUCUCGCACAAAAAGGUUUUUUCUUUAUUUUCUAGUCCAUUUGAAUAUUUUUCAUACGUUCUUAUUAUUAGAUUUUUUUACUUGCAAAGGUUCUUUGAUAAAACGUAAGCAAAAUAUGAUGGCUAGAAAUUUAGAAAAUCCACAAGUGAAAAUUCUAAUGUUCAAGAAAUGGGAUUGCGGAGAUCCGUGAGGCUAAAUGCGACAAUAAGUGGAGCAGCACCACCACCACGAGUUUCCACCAUGGGAACCACCACGGUGGCAGGGUCUAUGGUGCCUUCACCACGGCUCGAGCCAUGCCAUCCAAGGCUCACGGCCCAAGUCGUGCCAUCCAAGUUUGCACGGGCCCAGGCCCAAGCCUCGCAUUCGCAUGCAUCACAUACUAAGCAGCCUGCUCCAGCCAAGCAACCUGCUCUCGCGGCCCAGCCUGCUCUUGCCAAGCAACCUACUCUCACGGCCCAUCCUGCUCCAGUGGGUUUCCAAGUAGCCCAAGUCGGCCCAAGACUAUCUUAACCAUCCGGACCUACCAUCGAGCCGGGGGCAUUCUCACCAUAUUUUUUCAUGGAUUUGACAUUUCCCAACUUAAAUCUCGCGCCCGGAGUCUACCACCCUUCCACUGCCCAAGGAGGCGCAUUCCUUCCAAGCUUUUCCAAUCCAAAUGGCGAACAACACUUGUCUCGACAAGUCAUAGAGUUGACGAGCGCCCUUGCACAACAGACAACCUUGGUGAAUCAACUUUUGCAACGCAUCGGGAUCCAACGUGCCCGGACGAGGUAUCCCGAAGUAGGACAAAGGCAGACAGACCUUUUCAGCAGUGUCUCGGUAAGCAGCCACUCGACUAGCCACAAGCCGAACGUUUGGGCAGUGUACAUUCCCGUCUUAGCGCGCGGAGAAGCAUGCACUCUCGACUAGGCCCACGGAUGAGCAUACAUUCACAGUUGGGGUCAUACUCCGAUAGUCAACAUGAGUAACCUUCCAGAAAAAUUGUCCAUUCGUGGCUAAGCCCACAAAGAGCAUCAUCCACCUCACAUCAGAGUAGGCAACACGACGGACGGAGAGAAGCAGUCACUCAAUCCAGCUCAAGUUCAACCAGCAGCCUGGGAAAAACUCGUUCGCCUGCUAGGAACGCACCACAUGCACUGCAUCCGCAACAUAGACGAGCCAAACACAUGGAAGAGCAGCCUAGACCAGCAAGUCAUGGCUGGGGGGCAGCCGAGAGCUCCGCUACCCUAACAAAGGCAAAUUCAGGAAGAAGUAGAGAGACUAUUGACCAAGCGAUUGCAUGAUUUCCAACGCAACGAGGUCACCGACGAGGCACUACGACGGAACAUGACCAACAUAAGCAGGUCACCCUUCACAGACGAGAUCGAGCAGGCAGAGCCUCCACGCGAGUUCAGCAUGCCACAUUUCACAUAUUUCAAAGGGGAUGAAGACCCAGAGAGACACUUAAAGCGCUACCGAAGCGCAAUGAUCCUUUAUUGAAACAACGAUGAUCUCAUAUGUAAGAUAUUCGCCACCACUCUACAAGGCGAGGUGCAAGAUUGGUUCUACACCCUACCGCCAUAAUCCAUCCAGAAUUUCUACGAACUUUCUUUGGUUUUCACCAAAGAAUAUUCAUCUUAUCGCCCGAUCAAAAAGAAGGUUGACCAUUUGUUCGACAUCAAGAAGAACCCAAAGGAAUCGCUUCGCGACUAUGUGAGGAGGUUCAAAGUAGAGAAGGCAAAAAUAGUCGGAUGCAACGACUCGAUAGCUAAAGCAGUCUUCCAAAAAGGACUUCCAGCAGACCACCCGCUAUUCAAAAAAUUGAUCAUGAAAGAAGAUCUAACUCUAGCAGACUCUUUUACUUUGGCAGAGAAGCAUGCAUUUUGGGAUGAGGCUUGCCAAUGCACAUUCAAGGACUUGAAGAAGUACCCGACAUCACUUCCAUAGAAGCAGCGGAUGACUUAUUCGCAUGUUUGACGGUAUCUAAAGUAGCAAUAAGCUCUACCAUCAUGCGAGAAGAGCUGGGGGCCCGACUACCUGUAUUCUACAGUUCGAUGCUAUUAAAAAUUUAAAAGCUGACUUUGGCGAUAAUUGUGUAACCCAAAAGCUUAAGUUUUACCUUCAAACGCAAGCAGUCAUCAUCAUGACGCACUAUUCCACCGAAUCCAAACCGACAACGAUAAAGGCGUAGACCCUGCCAGAUGCAAAGUUUUCUGACGAACGUAAGAACUCAGCCUAACGACGCCCCGAAGGCAGUCGAGCACACUUUGGCCACACCUGCUCCCUCAAUGGAGAUUUUUGGGGUUUGCAUGUCGACGGCGCAUCCAACUACGAAAGCUCGCGAGUAGUCGUGGUUCUUGCCACCCCAGACAUUUCAAUGCUCAAGCAGGCGAUCACUCUAAACUUCAAAGCAUCUAACAACGAAGCAGAGUACGAAGCCCCACUAGCAGACCUUCAACUGACAAAAGACUUGGUGGUGAACAAGCUUUCCAUUCAUUCCGAGUUCUAGCUAAUCACCAGCCAGACUACCAGGGGCAAAUGCAUGAUGAUCGUGGAAACCGACUACUUCACCAAAUAAGUAGAAGCAGAGCCCAUGACGAUCAUGUUUCAGACAGACAUAGAGCGCUUCAUAUGAAGGAGUAUCAUUUGUCGAUUUGGCAUCCCUUAAUCUAUCGUCACCGACAACGGCCCGUAAUUUAUGGGCAAAGAUUUGGUGAAGUUAUUCAAAAAAUAAGGCAUCAAGUAGCACAUGUCUACGCCAAGAUAUCCUCAAGGCAAUAGGCGGGCCAAAGCAUCUACUAAGAUGAUCCUCGACUGCCAUAAGAAAUCCCCCACCAAUAAGAAAAGAAAAUGGCCAGACGAACUCCAAGGAUGUCUAUGGGCAUAUCGCACAACCAAAAGACGAGCAACCGAAAGUAGAUGGCCACAAGCUUAGAUCUGGCAGAAGAGAGUCGCGAACAGACUAUCAUUCGCAUUGCAGCCUACCAGCAUCAGCUCCUCUCCAGCUACAACAAAAGGGCCAAGAUCCGGCAGUUCCAACCCGGAGAUCUGGUCAUAAGAAAAACCUUAAUCACUGCCAGCAGAAAAGGCUCCAAAAAUAUGGAUCCCAUAUGGGAAAGUCCGUACAAGAUCAGCAGAGUAGGUGGCAAGAACAAUUACACCCUCGCCACCAUAAAACGACUAAAAGAUCAAAAAACAGUGGAACGCCUACAAUCUGAGGAAGUACCAUGUGUGACAUUUCGCUACAUCAAAGCCCGAAGACUCAAGCAGCUCGACGGGCACUACCUCACCAGCCGAGGAUUAUCCAGUUGUUAUGCAGUUAUUACCUUACAUCUAAGUUCUCGUUCGUUUAACUCAUUUUUCAAUGAGGAAUUCAUAAGUAAUCACGACUUGGCUUGGUUGCAUGCUUACAACAACUGAUCACUCCUGCACUUCAAAAGAAGACCGCGCCCUUCUUAGGGACUUACUGCAGGAAUUGCGCCCCCCGAAGGACCAACCAUGCUCUUCAGUGCGAGAGGGUAAACUAAUUGCUCUCCAACGCGAGAGGGUAAACCAAUUCCCCGACACCCACAUGGGUCAGCUCUCCAAGAACGGGAGGAUAAACUCUACACUCUGAAUAUCCAGACGUGGAUGAGCCGGGCUGCCCUAGUAUAACUAGAUGCACGAUGGCUUGCGCUGGGAUUCCUAGAAGUAGCCGCAAUGGUCUUUUUCAAGGCUUAGCUAACUGAAGGAUUUUGGGUCUCUUGGCCUAAUCCGUGGGGAACCGGGCCCUAGAGACGGAGAGGGCACAUUACACAGUACAUCCGAUGGACGACUGCCCUGGAAUCCUAAAGCUGCUACCGAGUGCACUAAGGUAGCCUACGGAUUCCAGAAGACUGCCUACGGCUUGCCCUUCGAGCAGUAAAGCUGCACUAGACUUAUACAACCACACAUUCUUGUGAAAGGUUAAACAAGCUAGCACGCAUAUACGAAGUUUUAUCCACUGCCGACAUGCUACGUAGUCGAUAAGCUUCACCUCUGCUAAGCGCGGAACAACCUACACCAAGUCCUAAAGUGUUGUGAUACUUGCUACGCAACCUACGGAAUUGGAGAAAGUCAAGGUUAACAGCCUAGUGGUUACGCGGACUUGUCUGCUUCUAUAAGUAAGGCAUCCGGCUGCCAACCCAAUGGCUAACAACUUUGCAAAGUUCUACACCAAAACCUACGGCUGCAUAGGCUACAUGAGCAUGUCUGCUUAUAAAAAAAUAGCAUGCUUGCCACUGGUCUAUCAAGUCUAAAGGUUAGGGCAUGAACAAAAGAAGCAAAAAUGAAGAAAAGCUAAGGAAAACAUGUUUAUAAACGACUAGCAAAGGCCGAAAGAGUUCAAGCAAAACAAGAGCUACAAAGAAAAUCUUAAAGGUUGCCUAGAUGACUACACUUUAGCAGCCUGGACAUCCGACGACUAUUCGGUCGCCACAUCUUCAGCAGCCGCGAAGCUCUUAGCAGCGGCAUCACCCCCGACUGCUCCAGCCUGGGCACCAACUUCUCCAACUACUUCACCAAUACCAACAUGGACGCGCUGCAGCUCAUCCACUUCUUUCUUCAAACUUUCGUUGAUAUUCAGUACACCUUGAAGUUCCAACAUUUGGGGUUCAAGCCUAUCGACGAUUCUCUUGAAGUGGAUCACUUGAUUAUAAGCAGCAAUCAACUUUUCAUCCUUUGCAUAAGCAGGGAAAGAAGUCUUUGGUUUUUUCUAAGCCGUUAUCUCUUGAACAGGCAGGGAAGAUCCCUUUUCCCACCUUCACAUGCAGCAGGAUCCACAGCGGUGAUUGGACGAGCCAAUGCAUCCGCCUUGAUCCUAUUCACCUCUUAUUUUGGGAGCAGCCCAUGUUUGUCCUGACGAAGAGAGUUAAAGUAGCCAACGCCAUUCAUGGUACCUAGCAGGGGAGUUCAACCCAACAUUCCAGCAGCUCAUGAGGCCCACAACCUUUUCAUUUCUCUCAAUCACCUGCCUAGCUCGCGUCAUGUCUAAAAGCCCAAAAAGACAUGAGCCAUGUGAUUCGCCUAGCACUGCGCCACAUCGCCACAAUCCGUGGCCUUAGCCAUACAAGCUGCCUUUGGUUCUAGCCAAGUCGAGCAGUUUAAAGCAGUGGUCCCUGCCACAAUACCUCAUCGGCCCAUGUCGAGCCGACUCCUGGCCCAUGCUAGCCAACAUGCCGCACCACCCCGACGGCUGCCCCAAGGUAGCACCAUCCAAGAAGAAGACAAGGAAAAUUAAUUUUUUCUUACCUCAGUGCGGCAUGAAGAAGACGAAGAAAGCAACGAAAGACGGUCCUUUGCACGUGCAAGAUGUAGAAAAUUGCUAGAGGAGGGGGAACAAAUAUCCUCUAAGCUAUCUCUCUCUUGUAGGAUACAAUAAAUCGUUCUCCAAAGUUGAUUUAAUAACCCACUUAAGGUGGACUUAAAUAGGAUUUGAGAGAAAUUUAUUUCCCUUUCCUAGAAGGAUCUAAUUUCCUAUUAAAGAGAGAAUCUACAUCAAAAUAGGAAGCAGUCCCACGUUUCCUAAAGCAAGAUGAUCUCUACACCUGCUGCAAUUUCCUACGAGCAGCCCAACAGGUGUGGGGGCAUUUGUGGAGCAAAAAAUAAUCACAAGGCGACACGUGGAUUCUUGGGUAAAAGAGGACAAAAAUACCCUUGAGGCAUACUGGGAUUCCUACGCGCGAGCAACGGGCAAUCAUCCCUAAACCAAGUCAAAAGUGCCCAAAAUAGAUAACAAUUUAAUGCCUAUUUCAUCAAAUCCUUUCUAUAAGGUAAUUCCUAAAACCAAAUUUAUUCUAUAUAUUUUGUAUUCCAUUAUUUAGCUAAUCAAUUAGCUAAAUGAUAUUUUCCUUUCAUAUUCCCUAAAAAUUGAUUAAUUAAGGGAUUAAUUACCUAAUCAAUCACUUAAUUAUCAAUUAAAACACCCAUUCACACCUAAAACUACUAAGAGGUCGGCCACCUCCCUUUUCCUAACCUUUUUCACUUUUCUCCAUUUUAUUACCCCAUAUACAAAUAAUCAAUUUUGUAACUCCUAAUUAAACCUAAAUUAAACCCAAAAAACCCAGCCACCUCCUAUCCCUAUAAAUAUACUCUCAUUCUCACCAAAAAAGCCAAUUCCAACACUUUGUAAAAAAUCCCAAAAUUCUCUAAACACUCUUUCUCUUUAAAUUCUAACUUUGGCAUCGGAGGUUUUUCGGCCAAAGCCCCCCCAUUCAUUGUGGGCGCGCGAGGCUCUUGGCCUUAACCUAAGGUGUUAAUUGUUUUGUAGGUGCAAAAUUGUCCAAGAUCAAGGAGGAAGAAAUUUGCAUCCACACGGGUCUUGCCAAGAAUCAUGCAAUUCAACACCAUCAAAUUAAUCGUCCCAUUAGGUAAAGUUUCCGGCUUUGCAACAAAACUCUAUAGUGGUGGAGCCAAAAAACCAGAUUAGGAAGGGCCUUUCAGCCAUAGAAAGAAAUGAGCCUUUAAAAUAUAAUUAAUGACGAGAAAUUAAAGGUUUUGUUUUUUGUAUUGGCAUGGAAAAUUCUAAUAAAACAAGAAUGGUAGAACUUUACAUUUUGUAUAGAAAACUUAGUAUUGAAAUAAUUAUAUCAUAUGAACAAAACUUGUUUCAAGCUUUGAUAAAAAUAAAAAAAAUAAAAAAUAGAUUCGAACAAAAAUCUAAGAUCAUGACUUAAUUAGAUUUUUCUCUAGACUAUUUAGGCCUUUGAUUUAUAUCAACUAGCUAAAAAAAAGUAUGAUUUUUAUAUGGUAAAACGUAAGGCAAAUUAUAACCAAAAAAAAGGAGGGCUUAGUUUUAUUAUGGGGAAAAAUAAGGCAAAGUAUAAGGAUUUUGCUUCCAAUUUAAUCACAGAUUGGAAAUGUGUUCAUCUGUAAUUUGCUAGCAGCAAGAGUUGUUGCUGAUUUUUUCAGCAGUCAAGUUUUGUUCCAAAAAAAUAAACAUCUAAACAGUGUCGGAGCACAAGCAAGUCUCCAACCGAGACCAUUUGGAUAUGCAAAAAGCCAAAAUCCAAUGAGCUACAUGCUCAUUUUGGUAAAAGCUUGCAGACAACAUAUAUAAGACCUGAAAUUUCAAGAUAGGCCAUCACUGGUCUCUAUCUGGCUCCGCCACUGAAACUCUACAAAUAUAAAAAUCAUAACCCAAUUUAGACGAUAAAUUUAUGGAAGCAUAUAAAUAGAGAAAUAAUUUGCUAUUUUAAAAAAUUAUAUCCAUGUAAUCAUAUAAUAUGUAGCAAACCUCGUUGAGAAGAAAUUGAGAAUUUUGUAAGAUGAAGACUUUGUGCACAUUUAUUUAUUUAUUUUUUCUGAUUUCCUAGAAUGAAAUGAGAUUUGGGGGAGGAUAUAUCGGCAGUUUAGUUUGAUAGAAGCUACUUUUUGCUCAACGUGGGUGCCGUUUUUCCAUUUUUCACAUUCAAUUUUUUUAUUGAGGGUUCAUCACGUCCAUUUUUUAAUUUUAUUUUCAUGUUUACAAUCAUCCUGCGUUUUUUUUAAUUGUAUUUUCUUAUUAUUAUACAUUUUAAUGGGUGGGAUCUUAAUCUCUCUCCUAAAAUGGAGGAGGAGUGGGGUUAAUAUCUCCUUAAUCAGCAUGUCUUAAAUGAAAGAGCAGUAUGGCUAAUCUCUCCUUAAUCGGCAUGUCUUCCCCCUUUUUUUUUAUUUUUUUUCCUUUUUUUCUUCUAAUAAAAGGAAUUAAAUAUUUUUUUUCUUUACACAAUUGCCCUUACUUUUUUUUUUUCAUAUUCUAGAAUAUGCCCACAAACAAAUUGUGUGGACAUUUUUACUUUUGUUUUUAAAAUUGAGGGAGAGAGGAAGAGAGUGAAAGAAAAACGUGGGAAUGGGGAGAGAUGGAUAGAGGUUUAUUUUUUUAUAUAUAUUUUUUUAAUUAGAGAUGAUAAAAUUACAUGUAUGUGAUGUUUAAACAAAACAAAAAAAUAAAUUUUUGUUUUAUGAAAUUAUGUUAUUGUCCUUAACUUUUUUUGUAGUGAUAAAAACAAAUGUCUUUUUCACAUUUUUUGGGUUGAUAAAGAAGGUUUCAAUAAUAUAGUACAUAUUUUGUAUCAAUAUGAUAAGUCGGUUUACAAGCAUUUUUAGUCCAAGUGUAAUGGUUGGGUUCAAGCUUAAAAUUUAAGUUUUAAAUCCCCCGAAAGCAUUUCCAGUCAUUAGGUUUUAUUAGGUCUUGGUGAGAAAAAAAACACCAUUGGCCCAGAUUCCGCCCACAAUUUAAUAUUUGUACUUAUCAAUUGACAUUCUUUCAUUUUAUUUUUUUUAGUUGAAAAAUUUUAUGAACUUUUGCACCGUUAUAUUUAAAUUAAGAUACUGCAAGUCUCUUAACUUGAAAAGAGAAAAAAGCAUAAACCCUAUUAAACCAUUAUUUAACUAAUAAAAUAGUAUAUAAUAAAGAAGUUAAUAGAAAACCUAUCGUAAAUACAAACAGAAUGACUUGCACCAAAGCCUAUUAAACCAAAAAGAAAUAAUGAGAAUGUAGAGAGGAUAUUAAUAUUUGUAAAUGCAAAGAAGUAAAUGAAACAUACACCCACUACUGGUCCAAAUUUGUAAUCCUUAUUUUAGAUUGUUAAAAUGAAACUCAAAAUGAACGAUGCUAAGUAUACAUGUAUGCUGUCUUUGCUUGCGAAACUCAAGCAGUUUACAAAAGCUAAGAAACUCUAUACUGAAUAGAAUUCUGUUUCGGAGACACUAGGGUUUCAAAUAUACUCCUUGCAGCAUACAUCAAAGAAAACCAAACGAAAGGACUGAAACCUUUCAUAGUCGGAUGGAGCAGAAUAUACUUCUUCCGUAUUUUCCCUAUGAAACCAACUUCAAAACUGAUUAUACAAAUUAAAAAUUUUCAAACAUUCAAUUACCUAGAAACCACAGUGGUGGAAAUGAAUUGAGCCAUUGCAUGAUAGCGUGUCUUCGAACCACAUCGGUGGCUAAUCUAAUAAAACUUAUCGUUUGACAAAAAAAAUUCAAUUACCCAGAAACCAAAAAUGGAAAUUUUAUUAAAUUAAAUUAAAAUAAACUCAUUGACAAAAGGAACAUAAAAAUGAAAAUUUCUACUAAAUUAAUUAAUACAAACUAAUGCACAAGAGGAGCAUAAACAACCUUUUGAAUUAAUCUAAAGAGAUACAAACUAAAAAUACCGGUCUUGCCAAGAAUCAUGCAAUUCAACACCAUCAAAUUAAUCGUCCCAUUAGGUAAAGUUUCCGGCUUUGCAACAAAACUCUAUAGUGGUGGAGCCAGAAAACCAGAUUAGGAAGGGCCUUAGAAAUUAGCCUUUAAAAUAUAAUUAAUGAAGAGAAAUUAAAGGUUUUGUUUUUUGUAUUGGCAUGGAAAAUUCUAAUAAAACAAGAAUGGUAGAACUUUACAUUUUGUAUAGCAAACUUAGUAUUGAAAUCAUUAUAUCAUAUGAACAAAACUUGUUUCAAGCUUUGAUAAAAAAUAAAAAACAGAUUUGAACAAAAAUCUAUGAUCAUGACUUAAAUUAGAUUUUUCUCUAGAAUAUUUAGGCCUUUGAUUUAUAUCAACUAGCUAAAAAAAAGUAUGAUUUUUAUAUGGUAAAACGUAAGGCAAAUUAUAACAAAAAAAAAGGAGGGCUUAGUUUUAUUAUCGGGAAAAAUAAGGCAAAUUAUAAGGAUUUUUGCUUCCAAUUUAAUCACAGAUUGGACACGUAUCCAUCUGUAAUGUGCUAGCAGCAAGAGCUGUUGCUGAUUUUUUUAGCAGCCAAGUUUUGUUCUAAAAAAAAAUCUAAAAAGUGUCAGAGCACAAGCAAGUCUCCAACCGAGACCAUUUGGAUAUGCAAAACGCCAAAAUCCAAUGAGCUGCAUGCUCAUUUUGGUAAAAGCUUGUAGACAGCAUGUAUAAGACCUGAAAUUUUAAGAUAGGCCUGGGCCAUCACUAGUCUCUAUCUGGCUCCGCCACUGAAACUCUACAAACAUAAAAAUCAUAACCCAAUUUAGACGUUAAAUUUAUGGAGGCAUAUAAAUAGAGAAAUAAUUCGCUAUUUAAAAAAAAAUCUAUCCGUGUAAUCAUAUAAUAUGUAGCAAACCUUGUUGAGAAGAAAUUACGAAUUUUGUAAGAUGAAGACUUUGUGCACAUUUAUUUUUUCUGAUUUCCUGGAUUGAAAUGAGAUUUGUGGAAAGAUAUAUCGGCAGUUUAGUUUGAUAGAAGCUAUGUUUUGCUCAACGUGGGUGCAGUUUUUCCAUUUUUCACAUUCAAUUUUUUUUUAUUGAGGGUUCAUCACGUCCCUUUUUUAAUUUUAUUUUCAUGUUUACAAUCAUCCUGCGUUUUUUUUAAUUGUAUUUUCUUAUUAUUAUACAUUUUAUGGGAUAUUAAUCUCUCUCCUAAAAUGGAGGAGGAGUGGGGUUAAUCUCUCCUUAAUCAGCAUGUCUUAAAUGAAAGAGCAGUGGGGCUAAUCUUUCCUUAAUCGGCAUGUCUUCCCCCUUUUUUAUUUUUUAUUUUUUUUCCUUUUUUUCUUCUAAUAAAAGGAUUUUUUUUCUUUACACAAUUGCCCUUACCUUUUUUUUUGAUAUACUAGUAUAUGCCCACAAACAAAUUGCGAGAAUUUUUUACUUUUGUUUUCAAAAUUAAUGGAGAGAGGAAGAGAGCGAAAGAAAAAUGUGGGAAUGGGGAGAGGUGGACAGAGGUUUAUUUUUUAUUUUUUUUUAAAUUAGAGAUGAUAAAUUCACAUGUAGGUGUGGUUUAAACAAAAAAAGUAAAAUUUUUAUUUGUGAAAUUACGUUAUUGUCCUUUUUUUUGUGAUAGAAAACAAAUGUCUUUUCAUACUCUUUUAGUUGACAAAGAAAGUUUCAAUAAUGUGGUAUAUAUUUUGUAUCAUUAUGAUAAUUCAGUUUACAAGAGUUUUUAGUUCGAGUGUAAUGAUUGUGUUAAAGCGUAAAAUUUAAGUUUUAAAUCCCCUAAAAGCAUUUCCCAUCAUUAGGUUUUAUUAAGUCUUGGUGAGAAAAAAAACCAUUAGCCCAAAUUCCGUCCACAAUUCAAGCCAUAACCGUUGGAGAAAAAAACUGUGUAUGGGUUAUGGCUUAAAAUUUUAAGCUUUAACUCACAUCAUUGCACCUGGUCUUCAAUUGGUUUGUAAUGCUCAUAAGCGUUUGUUCUACAAGUGCUUUCAUAGAGAAACAUUGGAUCUUUUAUUAAAUGUUCAAAUACUUAUUGGAAAAUCACUUGGAAGUGCUUCCUAAAUCAUCGGUUGCUAAAUGCGUUUCUAUAAAACGCUUCUAUGAUACAUAAGUAGUUCACAAAUGCUUCUAAUUACAAUUUUCUUUCUCGACAACCAUAAAGACUUCUGAUUGCCUUUGUCAAUAUAAUUUAUAACCGCUUACGGGUCUUAGAAGUGUUUUUCCUAAAGAAGCUGCCAUGUGAUUUUUUCAUAAAGUAGUUGGAUUUUCAAUAAGAUUUUUAGAUGAGUUUUUCUAAAGAAGCUGCUAUACAGGCCGUAUUCUUUUGGAUGAGUGCUGUGAUCCGUAUCCCAUAUCUGCAUCUGUACCACAUCGUCUGCUAGAUUGAGACGAGAAUAAGUCCUUGAAUCCACGACGUACUUAUCUAGCUUUGCUAAUGUUUACAUCCCGACUACCAUGAAAGCAUAAUAAAGUUAUGGCGGGUGCCCGGUGAAUAUAUGAGUAUCGAACAACUAAAGCACGCAGAAGUAUAAGCCGGACUCACAAGUCGGCAAACGCUCAUGCUUGUAAUCGAAGGGAGUCAGGGGACUGCGCUACAGAACUAACAGCCUCCUUAGCCUCAGCAGACUCAGCUGUUUUGCUGACUUAGUUCUGUAAUCGACAGCUUCCUUCCGUCAUUCCUGACUGCCAUGUAAGCCUCUCGCGCAGGUGAAGGUGAGUUUUAAUGGCAUGGCGGCAGGCCAUUCUGUCCCUCCCACCCUAAGUGGGGCCUCUGAGAAUCCCAAUUGCUUGAGCAGGAGGAAGAACAGAGAAGAUGGUUUUGGAGAAGGUAAACAGGUAAAAAGAACAUAAAAGAUAAAAUUCAAACAAGAUCAAACGGUGAAUCUAAGAGAGAAUUUAGAAAGAAAAUAGGCUUCAUUGGCAAAAUACUGGAAUACAAUGUUGAACAAAAUGACCAAGAUCACUAAACGUCCUACAUCUUGGAUUUUAGAAUACCAUAAAAAAAGUACCAAAUUUCAAAACUUAAACUAAGAAACACAUCUUGGCUCAACAAAAACAGCUACAUCGACUUCUUCCAUCUUGGGACCAGCACUGCUGCCACCAGCAGGAGGAACAUCUUCAUCCAUGGCACCACCGACAUCAGGUCUGCCAGCCCUGGUGCACCUUGGAAAUGAUCGGAUUGCAGAUGCUCUCCAGCUCCUUCAGCUUGUCCUCAAACUCGUCAGCCUCAGCAAGCUGGUUUUCAUCAAGCCAUUGAAUAGCCUGGUUGGUCUGGUCACUCGCAUCCUUGAUCUUCUUGAUCGUGUUCAUCAUGUUGAUAGCAUAAAUCACCAAAGUCUUCCCCAUGUUGCAGGCAUAAUUCUCCAAAGCAAUCUUGGCCUCCACCUUCUUCUUGUGCUUCUCAUCUUCUGACAUGUACUUCUUAGCCUCUUGAACCAUUUUCUCCAUUUCUUCCUUCGACAAUCUUCCCAUGUAAUUGGUGAUGGUAAUCUUCUUCUUCUGCUCUGUAGUCCUGUCUUUAGCAGAGACGUUGAAGAUACCGUUGGCAUCAAUACCAAAGCAGACAGUGAUUUGCGGAACACCCCUUGGAGCAAGAGGAAUGCCAGAAAGCUCAAAUUUUCCCAACAAGUUGUUAUUGCGAGUCCUUGUCCUUUCACCCUCAUAUACUUGGAUCAAGAUACCAGGCUGAUUGUCUGAGUAGGUAGAGAAGACUUGUUCCUUCUUGGUUGGAACGGUUGUGUUCCUUGGAAUAAACACAGUCAUCACACCUCCGGCAGUCUCCAAACCAAGGGACAAAGGAGUGACAUCCAGAACCAAUAAAUCCUUCACCUUCUUGUUACCCUCACCGCUCAAGAUGGCAGCCUGCACAGCGGCGCCAUAACCAACAGCCUCGUCUGGGUUGAUGCUUCUGCACAGCUCUUUGCCCUCGAAGAAGUCCUGCAACAACUGCUGCACCUUUGGAAUCCUAGUAGAACCGCCCACUAGCACAACAUCAUGGACCGAGCACUUGUCCAUCUUUGAAUCUCUCAAACACUUCUCAACGGGCUUCACACACUUUCUGAAAAGAUCCAUGUUAAGCUCUUCAAACCUAGCACGGGUAAUGGUUGAGUAGAAAUCGACACCCUCGUACAAAGAAUCGAUCCCAAUUGUGGUCUGAGAAGUGGAUGAGAGAGUCCUCUUUGCGCUCUCACAAGCAGUUCUUAACCUCCUAAGGGCUCUUGCGCUGCUGCUGAUGUCCUUCUUGUUUUUCCUCUUGAACUCUUGAACAAAGUGAUUCACCAUUCUGUUGUCGAAAUCUUCUCCUCCCAAGUGGGUGUCGCCGGCAGUUGCCUUCACUUGAAAGAUACCCUCUUCACCUGUGAGCAGGGAGACAUCAAAAGUGCCUCCGCCAAGAUCGAAAAUCAAGACAUUCUUCUCCCCAACGCUGGUUGCCUUCUUGUCAAGACCGUAUGCAAAAGCGGCAGCGGUGGGCUCAUUCAUAAUACGCAGAACAUUGAGGCCGGCAAUGACCCCAGCAUCCUUCGUGGCCUGACGCUGAGAAUCGUUGAAGUAAGCCGGGACAGCAACAACGGCAUUCUUUAUAGAUGAGCCAAGAUAGGCCUCAGCAAUCUCACGCAUCUUGAAGAGAACCAUGGAGGAAAUUUCUUCAGCAGUGAACUGCUUCUCUUCGCCCUUGUAUGUGACAACAAUCAUGGGCUUGUCACCGGGGCCGGAAAUGACCUUGAAAGGCCAAUGCUCCAUGUCCCUCUGAACAGAAGGGUCAGAGAAUCUCCUACCAAUCAACCGCUUGGCAUCUGAAAAAUUAACCAAGCUCGUUAAAAAAUACUAAUUUAUUAAUAAUUCAUAACAUAGAACAAGCUACAAUAUCAAGCUAAAUCAAUUAAAACUUAUCAAAAAUAAAAGUAACCAAAUAGAUCAUGCCAGACACUAAAAACUCGGAAAGCUUUUUUAAAUGGGUUUUUAUUACAAACAGUCCCUAAAAUUGAUUCAACUCAUCAAGAUGAUCCUUGAAAUUGAAAAUCGAUCAAUUUGGUAUAUGAAAAUGGGGGGUCAGAAAUCAAUGUGAUCAUUCUGUCACAAUUCCGUCAAACUCUAUUAUGUGUUGAUGUGGCACGUAAGUGGGUCUUACAAGACUAAUGAAUAUUGCCAUAUGGAUUAGAAAUACUUAAAAUAAUUAAAAAUAUAUAUUUUUGGAUAAUUACAAAAAAAAAAAAAAAAAAAAAAAAAAAAAACAGUCAUCUUCUUCUCCCACCCAAGGAAGCUGCACCCCUCCACUUCGGCUCCGAAUCAGAAACUUCAUGCCUGAUAUCUAGAAGCCCCAAAGCCCUUAAUAUCGCAUCCACCGCACAAUGAAGUGACACAUCCCCAUAAUUCGAAUACAAAAUUCAAAAAUUAAAUCGAAAAUGUAAUAAAAUAAAUUAAAAAAAUAUGAAAUUACGGGAAGAAAAAGCAGAUUAAUGGAGGAAUACAUUCAUCUUUUAUUUUAAUUUUUAUUUAUUUAUAAGUUUUUAAUUAUAUAAAUAAUUUUUUAAUUAUUUAAAUAUUUUAAAUCCACAGAGCAAUAUUUAAUUAUAUUUGUGGCACCUGUGCCACAAAGAAUAAGAAUUUUUGACGUAAUUGUAACGGAAUGACCACAUUGAUUAGCGACAUCAAUUUUCAGAGAAUAUUAACCUGCAAAGUUCAAAAAAUAAUUAAAAAAUAAAAAAUAAAAAAUAAACCUGCAAAAUUAUUUAUCACACCCAGCCUAAAAAAAUAAUUGUGUUUGGGAUAAAAUCUGAACUUUGGGCCAGAGAGAAAGUCGGCCCAAACCCAAGGCCCAGAGGAAAACUUAGGAGGCAGGAAAGAGGCUUUCGGCUGGGCACAAGUUACAAAGGCCACCUGCUUACCUGCUCAAAGACCACAGGGGGUAGGCUAUUCAGUCACUACAUAGCCCAAUAAAGUACUUUAUUGGUGGCAUUCAUGUAAAAAAGCUAGUGAGUCAUCACCAAACCGCAUUCGGGCACCGCUAUUGCUACAGGAACCCAAGCUGAAGUCGUCUAUAAAAGGAGGAAGAGAAGACAGAAUUAAAGACACUCAAACAAACAAACAAAAGCCAAAACUCUGCUCAAGCCAGAUUUGCCUUCAACGAAGCUGUAGUCAGCACAAGCCUUCAUCCCAUUCGGGAUAAACCUUCCCAAACCCCUGUAAUAGCUCUGCUACCUUGUUCAUGGUGGUAUCGAUUCAUUUUGUAUCCUCUUCUCCCCCGUCAACCCCUCUAAAAACUUUCAGACCUCUGACAGAGCCACAAAGAUAGAUUUUGUAAGAAGUUCAGCCUUGGCCGAUAAGGUUCAAACUUACCCGACUAUCUUUGCUCUGUCUUUGUCUUUUCUUUCUUUUAAAAGCACAAUAACAUGUUAUAUAUUCCCAAUUAUAUACAAGUUAUUUCUAGCAAAGUCAUAAUGAAAAUGAGUCUUCAGCACUUGAAUCCGAUCUGAAUCGCGUCAGAGUUCAAAUCAGAUCUAAGUCUUAAGCCCGCGGGCAUGUAAUUUAAAGAUCAGUAAAGUCCUUGGCCUCAAGGCAUAAAAAAGAACUCUAUGUGGACUCAACCCAUCCACGACAAUCCUUGAUAAGCGAGAAGUCCGAAGUUACUUGGGGCGCAAGUAAUCAAUCUAUUUCUCCGUUUUGUUGCUAUUAUAUCUUGAUUCGUAGAAAAGGCUUAAGCACGGAGUGAAUUCUGAUAGAAAGCCUCAAGGCCUACACCUAAGGCCCCCUAAGGCCCCACGAAGGCAUCUAUUUAGCUUCAUUUCAUGUUGCGGUCUAGUUGGUCCGAGUAUAAGGAUUAACUCUGAUGGGAAGCCUCAAGGCCUAUACCUAAGGCCCUACAAAGGCACUCAUUUGGGUUCGUCCUACCUCUUGGAUUCAGAUAAUCAAAGGUAUAAUAGUGAUAAGACUCUGGCAACCAUAAAAGACCAAAUAUGAUACAUCCAAGCGCUGGUUUAGGUUGACAGGAAGCCUCAAGGCCUAUACCUAAGGCCCCACAAAGGCACCUGUUAUAUCUAACUUGGUUUCUCGGGCGUAUACAUAUUCAAUCAAAGCUUAACACCCAUUCAACAUCUGCCAUACUAAAGAUGGCAGUGGCACGCCUGAGCACGACAAAGUUAAUCUUGAUUGUGAGCCUUAAGGCCUACACCUAAGGCCCCACAAAGGCACCCUUUCAAAUUAACUUUGUCCUUCUCUUUCAGAACUGCCCGACGAGCCUUGCCCGAAGUGUGUCUUGCCCGACCAAGAUCUGCCCGACAAAGGCUUGCCCAAGCGAGUCCGAGAAGAAAGCAGAAGUACGACAGAUACCCUCAACCGACGCCAUUCUCCCAGGGGAGCUGUGUACUCGUCCGCCAGGAGAUUCCUGCGACGAACAUAGUUUUGGCACGCCCGGUGGGACAAGAAACAGCUACACUUCUAAGAUCUUACAUGUCCAAAAAAGAGAAGCUAUAAACUUGCCAAAAAAGAAGCCAAGAAGGAUCUUUUCCAGAUGACAGAACAAUCAGAAAAUCCUUUAUCCCCAUCCGGACAGGUGGUCUCAGGUAGUUCGACUGCAUCUGAGAAAUCACAGGGGGAAGGGAUUAAUGAAGAACUGCAAGCUACAAUGAUCCAAGUGUUGAAAAGCAUGGAAAGAAUUUCCUUGGAGACUAAGGGAGAAGUAAAGCAGACUCUGCAUGCUUACAGGAAAUCUACAAAGGAGGCUGGAUUUGGAGUUCUCUACUCCAAAGGGUGCUCAAGGAAGUGGAAUGAGUCCAGUUGUUAUAAGAAGUGAGCCAAUCAUUUCUUUGUUUCCACUACUAGAAGAAGAAAAGGAUAGGGGAAAGAAGAAGGUGAUACCUGAAGAAAGUCAAGCAGUGAUGGAGUCAGCUUCAGAAAAGGAGUUUCCCAGCUUCCCAUUAUUAUCAUUUAAUAAUAGGAGGCAGAGCGAACAAGAAAGAAUGAAGUUUGGACUGCCAGCCACGGCUGGGAGAAACUAGCGGGAAAGAAACAACCACUACUACGUCAGAUAAACCUCUACCUUAUAGGCCACCCCCGAUGGUCAACAAAGGUGGAGGAUCUAACUGGAGAAAAUCUGAAACCAAGAGGGAAGCAAACGCGGGCAAUGACCGGAGUCCGAAGAUUGAGUCAGCUAUCCAUGGCCAGAAUGAUAAUUUAGCUACUCAGCAACUAAGAGAAGAAUUGGCUGAGUUAAAGAAGAACGGUGAUUCAAAACGCCCAGCCUCGAGUUCGUCCAGUAUUCAGGGUUACCUACCAGAAGCCAUAUCCUGAAUAUAUCGAUGAGUUAAAUCCAUUCCCUCUUAAUUUCAAGAUGCCCGCAUUCCCGACUUUCACAGGGGAAGAUAGCAGUGUGUCCUCCAGAGAUCGUAUUUUCAAAUUUUCUAAUCACUGUGUGGCGUAUGAGGACAAUCCAAACUACAAAUUGAGGUUGUUUGGAAAUUCACUAGCAGGAUUGGCAUCUCAAUGGUAUUCUCUAUUACCCCCCAAUUCCAUUGCUAACUGGGGGCAAAUGGAGAUGGCUUUCCAUGAACAGCUCUACAGGAUAGAGCCAGAGCUCACCAUUAAUGAUCUGGUAGAAGUGAAACAAUAUGAUCAUGAGUCCACCGAAGAUUUUAUGAUGAGGUUCAGGAGGACAAGGAUGAGAUGUCAGUUCCCUGUCAACCAGGCACAGCUCAUAUCCAUUGCUCAAAGGGCUUUAAAAUUACCUUUGAGAAAGAGGUUCUAUGAUGCACAGUUUAAUGAGCUACAAGAGUUGGUGAUUGCUGCUACUAAGUAUGAGAGGCUGUUACAGGAGGAACAGCAGGUAAAACAUACUUCCAAAACUCCUCCGUUCUACAAAAAUAAAGCUACUAUUCACCAUGUAGAAGUAGGGGAAGCCGGACCCGAAUGCAAAGAUGAUCAUGAGGACAAGAGUAUAGAUGUAUGUGCUGCUGAGAUGACCACACCCUUCAAGCCAUUGACGAUCAAAGGGUUAGUCCAACCAGUCAAGGACCAGAAGAUCGUGAUGAAUGAUGGUGGGUUCGUACCCAUGAAACCCCCAAAGUAUCAAAGUUAUUCUUUCGAUCUAACCAAGGCGCCAGAAAUCUAUGAAGAACUUGUGCGGGCAAGAGUCAUUUUGCCCGACAGCACCAAAAAGAUGCCCAAGCCCGAGGAACUCAGGGGGAAGAAGUAUUGUAAGUUGCAUUAUACCUUCAACCACUCUAUAGUCAAUUGUGUCCAGUUUAGGGACUGGGUACAUGAUCUUAUAGUGAAGGGGAAGUUACUACUCGAUUCACCUCAGGCUAGUAUGUUGGUGGAUACUAACCCUUUCCCCGAAGCUCCUAUUAGCAUGAUCGACCUCGUUUUCAAGGAGUCGGGGUUAUCAACAGAGUAAAAUGCCAUUGAAAGGACCCGGGAGCAGGGGCUAAGAUUGCCAACAAUAAAGAUGGAGGAGAAAAGCAGGUAGGCAAGGGGGCAUAGAGUUGCCUGAGGCCUAUCCAAAUGGAGCAGAACAGGAGGAAUGUUACAUAUCCAUUCUAAAACAAAAAGAGAUUACAAAGUAAUUCUAUUCCAAAAACUUUAUAUCUUCACAUAAGGUGAUUAUUCUAGAAUGGUAUGUUCGCAUGAUGGUAAAAAUUCUAUUUGGUUCAGCCAAGACAGUAUGGCUGUUUACAAGUUCAGACUUGGUUUGCUCUAACUCUGAAGUCGCUUUUUCCACCCCUUCGAUCUGUUGCUCAAGGUUAUCCAGAAGAGUUGUUUGCUUCGCCUUAAGGAUCAUCAGUUGUCUCUCCAACUUCUGAAUUUCAGAAGAAACAACUUCAAUCCGUUCUUUGGUCUGCAUACUCUCUUCCAUCAGCCGACUAACUUGGGUAGAGGAGCUCGAUUCUCUCUCUAUGAAGCAUUUUGCCCGGUUAGCCAGCCGGUCUGCUCUCUGAUGUUGCUCCCUGAGGGCCCUCAAGUUUUCAAAGAAAGAAAGGAAAGAAUCAUACUGAGGCUUAGAUAAGCGAUCGUUUUUAAAGAACUCAGUAAUGACUCUCUCGAGGUCACAGAGAGCCUUGAGGCUAAAUGAUGCAGUGAAUUCUUUCUUUGCCCAUGUUUGAAAGAUUUGUGUUGCUGCUCCGAAGACAUAGAUUUUGUUGAAGCCUGCUUUGAAGACUUCAACCGCGUCUCAAGUCGCCCGAGUGCUUCGAAGAGUUUGGGCAACUUGGCAGGAUCAGAGGAGGAAGGAGAAGGGUCCGGCAUAACAGUUUCUUCUGGUGAGAUAAUGCCUAUGGAAGGGGCAAUUUCUGUUUGUUCAAUCGGUUCAUCUCUAGACAGGGAGGUGUCAACAUCUCCAGAGGAAGAAGGAGGUUGAAAGCACCUUGGGUUACGGGCCAUUGGAGGAGGGGAAGUUUCUUUUGGGGAAGCUCGCUACAAAACUUCAGGAUCAGGACAAGAUGAACUAUACACAAAUCAAAACAAAAGAGGCUUUGGAGAGAAGAAAGUUACCUGACUUAACCCCGGGGUUUCACCAGAAAAUGCACUAACUCCUUGUCGAGGUGAAGAUUUUUCACCACCAGCGACAUAUGGGAAAGUUGUGCCUGAACCUGUGCCUACAUCCUGGUUGUAUCCAAAGAAAGUAGUGAUGAUCAGCAAAAGGUCACCAGAGGAAGAAACAAGAAGAAAAUAUUCCAGCACCUGAGGUUGAUCUUGAGGAGAAGGAGGUUCAUCGACCGUCUGGCGAGUAAGCGCUUGCGAAAUAGUUGUGUCUAAAGCUACAGGGAUCUCAGGAACUAUGGGUUCUUUAUCCAAGGCCACUGACGGGGAAAGGGGUUCAUAUCCCGAAGAUGGCUGCAAAGAACAUGGAUAGGAGUUACUUGGGUAGCAAUGUGCAAAGUUGAAAUGAAAAGAAAGAGUAACUCACCAAAGUAUCAUCCUCAUCCACAAAAUGCAACAUGAUUCUUGUGGAAGGAUCAAAUUGAGAAGAAGGGGUUGCAUCUAGGGCAGGUUGCGGAGAAAGACUUUCUUUCCUUGUAGCCUAAAGCCAAAUUAUUCAAAAUUCAGAAAGGUUUGAAAAUAAGAAAGUAUAAAGAUAGAAGUCAUACCUCUUUAAGCGUAGCAGCCCUUCGUGAUUCCUUCUUAGAAGCAAGGGUUGACCUUUUAGAAGCUUGAGGUCCUGUUGAGUGAUAAAGGGAUAAUCAGAUAAGGGAGAAAGGUAGCCAUUUGAUCCAGAAGAGGAGAGACUCACUGGAAGAUUGUUCUGUCUCUUUACCCGCUUCAGAAACGGGAGCAGAUGGGGCUGCUGGUUUAGGAGGCACGGUGACUCUUGCCCGCUUACUCUUUCGGGUAAGAAUUGGUCGUGUGGUUGCUGAAGGAAGCGCCGGAUCAGAGAUUGUGGUUUUAGUUAUGGCCACCCUCUUUCGUUUAGAUGCUUUGGUCGUAUCUUUGGCUAUUCUUUUAAUUGUUUCUUCAGCUCCUGAAUCCCCAAGAGAUUCAGAGACGUCUGUCCCUUCCCCGGCUUCCCGCCUUUCAGCUUCUGCUGCAGCACCAUGAAGAACUGCGGCAUCAGCAGAAUCAUUCUCUGAUUCGAUGGCUUCGGAUUCAGUAUCAACUGAAGCUGCAGAAACAGGUAAGAGUGAGGAAAGUAAACAACAAGGAAAGCAAAAUCGGAUGGGAAGAAAGUCACCUAUUAGGAGUAAUCAGUUUUUCUCUUGGAUCAUAUCUUUCCAAUUUGCAAGCUCGCCCGAGCUAGGAUAUGAUUUAAGAGAAAGCUGGCUGAAAAUACGAUCGUGGUUCACUUUCAAAUCUCCUCCGUAUUUUCUAGUCCACCUUUCCUCCCACCAAGAAGAAAACAGCGAGGUACAUUCGAAAUUAAGAACAACGGAAUGUCGGGCUGCUUGGCUCAUCACGUCCAAACUACGGCGGGCAGCUCGAAAUAUUGCUUCAGAAUGAGUCUGUAACCGAAAUGAAGUGCCACAAUGGAUGGAGUCGAAGAAUGGGACAGGUAUGGAUUGCCUAAAUCCUAAUUGCCUGCUGCAGAAGUUAGGAUGAUACACAUCCAAGCCUCGAUCAUACCGAUUUCCCCGGACCCCCCAGGCCAAGUCUCUUGGCUGAAUACAGCUGAUAAACUUUUCCCUGCAGAAGGGAGCAGCAUCCUCACCAGGGGCAUCUUGGAAGGCUUGGUCAGAAAACCAAGGAUAUCUCCUCAAGACCGAUGCACCCCAUUCCAAGUCUGACCGAGUCCUGCAGACUCGGAAAAAGUAGAAGAAGCAUGCAAAGGUGGAAUGAUCUACAGGAGGAGCUUCAGCCAGGAUUCGGGCAGGAGCCACACCCUCUGGAAACUCUAGAUUGAUAGCCCGAAAUUCUGGAAAAUACCAUUGUAGCCAAAUCUGUAUCAUCCAGAUGGGGCCGUUCAAAUUGGUCUCAAAGGGCUCAUCCCGGGUCAUGUCAAAAAGAAGGUGAUAGAGAUGGGAGAGAAGGAAUGGACCUGUGGUAACGUCAUCAAAAUUGUGAAGAACCUCUACCAAGGGGAUCCAUUCUACCCGUACCCCCUUGGAUUUGUUGGGGAAGACGUGCUUGUUAAGCCAGUAAAGAAGAAAGUACAUAUGCUCUUGAUCUUUGUCGGCUUGAGGAGAGCCUACCCCGAAGUUCUUCUUGACAAAAGGGAUGAAUCCUUUAAAGGAGGUCCCAUAACUUUUGAAAGUAACUGAGUUAUAGCUAAGAGGAAGGAAGUAGGUGGAAGAACUUGAGCCCCCGGUGGUAGAGGAUGGAAUCCAAUCUUGAGUAACAUCUAUCACCCUGCCCGAUGGCCUCAACCCGAAGACUUGGGCCAUAUCAAGAAUGGUGGGAGACAUGGGACCCAUACGGAAAUCGAAGGUGUUUGUGCCCGUAUUUCCAAAAGAGGAGGGCAGAAGCAAGCAAUUCGGGCUUAGGGGUAAUUGAAAUCUUCGAAAGCAUAAUCAGUUCGUAGAUGCCGUUACUCAUCCAUUUCUGCUUGAAGGAAGGUUCCAAUUCGUCAAUCCACUGGGCCCAGGCAAGAUCAUUCAUCAAGGGAAAGACUCGACGAUGAAAAGACCACUUAGAAGAAGAAAUGCCCGAGUCGGCCAAAUAAGGAUUUGGGGUAAACCAGUUUCCCCUAGGCAUAUUACUUUCUACUACUGAGGGAACCCGAGAAAUCCAGGCAGGACCCAAAGAUUGAACCCCAUGCAUCUCAAAGAAGAGUUCAGAAUGCAGACCUGCCCGCGGACGAUGCAGCCCGUUGAGCAGACGGCGUAGAGUGGCAAUUCCUUCACCAGACUCGUAGGAUGGUAGGGUUUGGCCGGAUCCUGAGGCCAUUUAAUGAAGGCCGUGGGGAAGAAAAACAAGGAGAACGGUAAAGAUACAACCUCGUCGGACAACGAGAAAGAAAUGAUGGAAGAAUUGGGAAGUUUUGUUGUAUCAGAGAAGGUUUUCUUUUUACGAAACACAGAGAACAGAGAAGUUCACUCACAAGGGUUCUAAGAGUUCUAAGGGUUUAAAGCAGGGGUCUCUUUCAAUUAAUAUUGGCGCCUGGGAUCCCAACCUUAACAUCAAUUGAAGGGGGCACUGUUUGGGAUAAAAUCUGAACUUUGGGCCAGAGAGAAAGUCGGCCCAAACCCAAGGCCCAGAGGAAAACUUAGGAGGCAGGAAAGAGGCUUUCGGCUGGGCACAAGUUACAAAGGCCACCUGCUUACCUGCUCAAAGACCACAGGGGGUAGGCUAUUCAGUCACUACAUAGCCCAAUAAAGUACUUUAUUGGUGGCAUUCAUGUAAAAAAGCUAGUGAGUCAUCACCAAACCGCAUUCGGGCACCGCUAUUGCUACAGGAACCCAAGCUGAAGUCGUCUAUAAAAGGAGGAAGAGAAGACAGAAUUAAAGACACUCAAACAAACAAACAAAAGCCAAAACUCUGCUCAAGCCAGAUUUGCCUUCAACAAAGCUGUAGUCAGCACAAGCAUUCAUCCCAUUCGGGAUAAACCUUCCCAAACCCCUGUAAUAGCUCUGCUACCUUGUUCAUGGUGGUAUCGAUUCAUUUUGUAUCCUCUUCUCCCCCGUCAACCCCUCUAAAAGCUUUCAGACCUCUGACAGAGCCACAAAGAUAGAUUUUGUAAGAAGUUCAGCCUUGGCCGAUAAGGUUCAAACUUACCCGACUAUCUUUGCUCUGUCUUUGUCUUUUAUUUCUUUUAAAAGCACAAUAACAUGUUAUAUAUUCCCAAUUAUAUACAAGUUAUUUCUAGCAAAGUCAUAAUGAAAAUGAGUCUUCAGCACUUGAAUCCGAUCUGAAUCGUGUCAGAGUUCAAAUCAGAUCUAAGUCUUAAGCCCGCGGGCAUGUAAUUUAAAGAUCAGUAAAGUCCUUGGCCUCAAGGCAUAAAAAAGAACUCUAUGUGGACUCAACCCAUCCACGACAAUCCUUGAUAAGCGAGAAGUCCGAAGUUACUUGGGGCGCAAGUAAUCAAUCUAUUUCUCCGUUUUGUUGCUAUUAUAUCUUGAUUCGUAGAAAAGGCUUAAGCACGGAGUGAAUUCUGAUAGAAAGCCUCAAGGCCUACACCUAAGGCCCCACGAAGGCAUCUAUUUAGCUUCAUUUCAUGUUGCGGUCUCUAGUUGGUCCGAGUAUAAGGAUUAACUCUGAUGGGAAGCCUCAAGGCCUAUACCUAAGGCCCUACAAAGGCACUCAUUUGGGUUCGUCCUACCUCUUGGAUUCAGAUAAUCAAAGGUAUAAUAGUGAUAAGACUCUGGCAACCAUAAAAGACCAAAUAUGAUACAUCCAAGCGCUGGUUUAGGUUGACAGGAAGCCUCAAGGCCUAUACCUAAGGCCCCACAAAGGCACCUGUUAUAUCUAACUUGGUUUCUCGGGCGUAUACAUAUUCAAUCAAAGCUUAACACCCAUUCAACAUCUGCCAUACUAAAGAUGGCAGUGGCACGCCUGAGCACGACAAAGUUAAUCUUGAUUGUGAGCCUUAAGGCCUACACCUAAGGCCCCACAAAGGCACCCUUUCAAAUUAACUCUGUCCUUCUCUUUCAGAACUGCCCGACGAGCCUUGCCCGAAGUGUGUCUUGCCCGACCAAGAUCUGCCCGACAAAGGCUUGCCUGAGCGAGUCCGAGAAGAAAGCAGAAGUACGACAGAUACCCUCAACCGACGCCAUUCUCCCAGGGGAGCUGUGUACUCGUCCGCCAGGAGAUUCCUGCGACGAACAAAUUGCUUUCAAGGAAAUUGAACUCUUUUUCUCAGAAAUUCAGGCAAUAGAAAUCUAAAAACAGCAAAGUUUAAACAACCAGCAAAUAUUGACAGUAAAAUUCGUAAAAUCAGCAAGACAAGCAGAGAUCAAACAGUACGAGGCAAAAAAACAUCACAUAAAAAAAUUUCGCAAGAAAAAGAAGGUAUCUCGAUUCUUGCCCAGGACGGUGUUGAUGGGGUUCAUUGCGCCUUGGUUCUUGGCCGCAUCGCCGAUCAACCUCUCCGUAUCAGUAAACGCCACGUAAGACGGCGUCGUGCGGUUGCCCUGUUCAUUAGCGAUGAUCUCGACGCGGUCGUGUUGCCAAACAGCGACGCACGAGUAACUAGUUCCGAGAUCUAUACCGAUCGCUGGCCCCUCUCCCUUUACCGCCAUUGCAACCGCUGAUAUUCAAUCAAUCAAAGAACCGCAGAGAAAAGUAAAGAGCUUUUGAGCUUUUGAGAUAGGUAAAGAAACUUAGCCAGGACGAAAUAAAUUCAGUUUGUAGAAUUUUAUUUUCUUUUUACAUUUGUUGGCGCGUAAAGACAUUCUUAUAGUUAUAAUACAGUUAUAAUACUCUAAGUGCACGUACAAUGUUUAAUUUUAAUAUUUGUACUUGUCAAGAGAUAUUCUUUAAUUUUAAUUUUUUUAGCUAAAAAUUUGUAUGAACUUUUGCACCGUUAAAUUUAAAUUAAGGUUAUGCAAGUCUCUCAACUUGAGAAAAUCACACAAAACCUGUUAAACCAUUAUUUAACUAAUAAAUUAGUAUACGAUAAAGAAGUUAAUAGAAAGGUAACCUAUUGUAAAUACAAACAGAAUGACUGCACUAAAGCCUAUUAAACCAAAAAGAAAUGAAAAGAAUGUAGGUAGAAAAUUAAUAUUAGUAAAUGAGAAUUAAUAUUAAGGAAAACUAAUAAAAAUGGUUUAAAAACUUUGAGUUUUAACGAUAAGGACAAAAUAAAAAGUAAAGUGAAUAGUACCGAGAUCACCAAACAUAAAGGAUAAAAUUCAAACAAUAUCAAACAGUGAAUCCAAGAGAGAUAAUUUAGAAAGAAAAUGGGCUUCAUUGACAAAAUACUAGAAUACGAUGUUGAACAAAAUAACCAAGAUCACCAAACAUCCUACAUCUUGGAUUUUAGAAUCCCAUUAAAAAAGUACCCAAUUUCAAACCUUAAACUAAGAAACACAUAUUGGCUCAACAAAAACAGAUUCAUUGACUUCUUCCAUCUUGGGACCAGCACCGCUGCCACUAGCAGGAGGAACAUCUUCAUCCAUGGUGCCACAGACAUCAGGUAUGCCAGCCUUGGUGCACCUUGGCAAUGAUUGGAUUGCAGAUGCUCUCCAGCUCAUCCAGCUUGUCCACAAACUCGUCAGCCUCAGCAAGUUGGUUUUCAUCAAGCCAUUGAAUAGCCUGGUUGGUCUGGUCACUCGCGUCCUUGAUCUUCUUGAUCGUGUUCAUCAUGUUGACAGCAUAAAUCACCAAAGUCUUCCCCAUGUUGUAGGCAUAAUUCUCCAAGGCAAUCUUGGCCUCUACCUUCUUCUUGUGCUUCUCAUCUUCUGACUUAUACUUCUUAGCCUCUUGAACCAUCUUCUCUAUUUCUUCCUUCGACAAUCUUCCAUUGUCCUUGGUGAUGGUAAUCUUGUUCUUCUUCCAUGUAGUCCUGUCUAUAGCAGAGACGUUGAAGAUACCAUUGGCAUCAAUAUCAAAGCAGACAGUGAUUUGCGGAACACCCCUUGGAGCAAGAGGAAUGCCAGAAAGCUCAAAUUUUCCCAACAAGUUGUUAUCGCGAGUCCAUAUCCUUUCACCCUCAUAUACUUGGAUCAAGAUACCAGGCAGAUUGUCUGAGUCGGUAGAGAAGACUUGUUCCUUCUUGGUUGGAACGGUCGUGUUCCUUGGAAUCAACACAGUCAUCACACCUCCGGCAGUCUCCAAACCAAGGGACAGAGGAGUGACAUCCAGAAGCAAUAAAUCCUUCACCUUCUUGUUACCCUCACCGCUCAAGAUGGCAGCCUGCACAGCGGCGCCAUAAGCAACAGCCUCAUCUGGGUUGAUGCUUCUGCACAGCUCUUUGCCCUCGAAGAAGUCCUGCAACAACUGCUGCACCUUUGGAAUCCUAGUAGAACCGCCCACUAGCACAACAUCGUGGACCGAGCUCUUGUCCAUCUUUGCAUCUCUCAAACACUUCUCAACGAGCUCCAUACACUUUCUGAAAAGAUCCAUGUUAAGCUCUUCAAACCUAGCACGGGUAAUGGUUGAGUAAAAAUCGACACCAUUGUACAAAGAAUCGAUCCCAAUUGUGGUCUGAGAAGUGGAUGAGAGAGUCCUCUUUGCCUUCUCACAAGCAGUUCUCAACCUUCUACGAGCACUUGGGCUGCUGCUGAUGUCCUUCUUGUGUUUCCUCUUGAACUCUUGAACAAAAUGAUUCACCAUUCUAUUGUCGAAAUCUUCUCCUCCCAAGUGGGUGUCUCCGGCAGUUGCCUUCGCUUUAAAAAUACCCUCUUCAACUGUGAGCAGGGAGAUAUCAAAAGUGCCUCCGCCAAGAUCGAAAAUCAAGACAUUCUUCUUGCUAACGCUGGUGACCUUCUUGUCAAGACCAUAUGCAAAAGCGGCAGCGGAGGGCUCAUUCAUAAUACGCAGAACAUUAAGGCCGGCAAUGACCCCAGCAUCCUUCGUGGCCUGACGCUGAGAAUCGUUGAAGUAAGCCGGGACAGUAACAACGGCAUUCUUUAUAGAUGAGCCAAGAUAGGCCUCAGCAAUCUCACGCAUUUUGAAGAGAACCAUGGAGGAAAUUUCUUCAGCAGUGAACUGCUUCUCUUCGCCCUUGUAUGUGACAACAAUCAUGGGCUUGUCACCGGGGCCGGAAAUGACCUUGAAAGGCCAGUGCUUCAUGUCACUCUGAACAGAAGGGUCAGAGAAUCUCCUACCAAUCAACCGCUUGGCAUCUGAAAAAUUAACCAAGCUCGUUAAAAAAAUACUAAUUUAUUAAUAAUUCAUAACACAGAACAAGCUACAAUAUCAAGCUAAAUCCAUUAAAACUUAUCAAAAAUAAAAGUAACCAAAUAGAUCAUGCCAGACACUAAAAACUCGGAAAGCUUUUUUAAAUGGAUUUUUAUCACAAACGGUCAUUGAAAUUGAUUGAACUUAUCAAAAUGAUCAUUGAAAUUGAAAAUCGAUCAAUCUAAUCCAUAAAAACGGGGUCGGAAAUCAAUGUGAUCAUUCUGUCACAAUUCUGUCAAACUCUGUUAUGUGCUGAUGUGGCACAUAAAUGGGUCUCACAAGACUAAUUCAUAUUGCCACAUGGAUUAGAAAUACUUGAAAUUAUUUUUGAAAAAAAUAUUUUUGGAUAAUUAAAAACUUAAAAAAAAAAAUAGCCAUCUUCUCCCACCCGAGGAAGCUGCACCCCUCCACUUCGGCUCUGAAUCAGAAACUAUGCCUGAUAUCCAGAAGCCCCAAAGCCCCUAAUAUCGCAUCCACCACACAAUGAAGUGACACAUCCCCAGAAUUCGAAUACAAAAUUCAAAAAUUAAAUAAAAAAUGUAAUAAAAUAAAUUAGAAAAUGUGAAAUUACGGGAAGAAAAAGCAAAUUAAUGGAGGAAUACAGUCAUAUAUAUAUAUAUAUAUAUAUAUAUAUUUUUAAGUUUUUAAUUAUAUAAAUAAUUUUUAAUUUAUUUAAAUAUUUUAAAUCCAUAGAGCAAUAUUUACUUAUAUUUGUGGGAACCAGUUAUGUGCCACAAAGAAUUUUUGACGGAAUUGUAACGGAAUGACCACAUUGAUUUGUGACACCAAUUUUCAGGGAUUACAUUGAUUGAUUUUCAAUUUCAUGGACCAUCUUGAUAAGGUAGAUCAAUUUAAGAGACCAUUUAUGAUAAAAACCAUUUUUAAAAUUUCAUCCAACAAUUUACAAGAAACUUAAAACCCAAAUUAUAAUUUUGAACAGAUUAACUAAAACUCGUGGCCGUGACCACCAAUUAUAAUAUUUGAUAGUCCAUUAAUAUUAACUAAACAAAUCCUGCAAAUAAAAAUAAAAAAUAAAUAAACCGAUCAAUUCGCUAUAAAAAGAUUCAAGGCACAACAAACCCUGCACAAAAUUAACCUGCAAAGUUAUUUAUCAGACCAAGCCUCAAAAAGAUAAUUACUUUCAAGGAAAUUGAACUCUUUUUCUCAGAAAUUCAGGCAAUAGAAAUCUAAAAACAGCAAAGUUUAAACAACCAGCAAAUAUUGACAGUAAAAUUCAUAAAAUCAACCAUACAAGCAGAGAUCAAACAGUACAAGGCAAAAAAACAACAUCACAUAAAAAAGAAAGUAUCUCGAUUCUUACCCAGGACGGUGUUGACGGGGUUCAUGGCGACCUGGUUCUUGGCCGCAUCGCCGAUCAACCUCUCCGUAUCAGUAAACGCCACGUAAGACGGCGUCGUGCGGUUGCCCAGAUCAUUAGCGAUGAUCUCGACGUGGUCGUGUUGCCAAACAGCGACGCACGAGUAACUAGUUCCGAGAUCUAUACCGAUCGCUGGCCCCUCUCCCUUUACCGCCAUUGCAUCAGCUGAGAUUCAAUCAAUCAAACAAGCAAAGAACCGCAGAGAAAAGUAAAGAGCUUUUGAGAUUUUUGGGCGAUAGGUAAAGAAAGUUAGCCAGGAAGAAAUUCAGUUUGUAAAAUAUUCCCUCCCUUCUGCAUGUGCGUAUGAAAGACGCUACGCGCGGCGUGUAGAAUUAUAUUUUCUUUUUACAUUUGUUGGCGCAUGAAAACAUUCUUAUAGUUACAAUGCGCGAAGCGCACGUACAAUGUUUAAUUUUAAUAUUUGUACUUGUCAAGAGACAUUCUUUAAUUUUAAUUUUUUUAGUUGAAAAUUUGUAUGAACUUUUGCACCGUUAGAUUUAAAUUAAGACUAUGCAAGUCUCUCAACUUGAGAAAAUCACAUAAAACCUGUUAAACCAUUAUUUAACUAAUAAAUUAGUAUAUGAUAAAGAAGUUAAUAGAAAGGUAACCUAUUGUAAAUACAAACAGAAUGACUGCACCAAAGCCUAUUAAACCAAAAAAAAAUGAGGAGAAUGUAGGUAGAAAAUUAAUAUUAGUAAAUGGGGAUUAAUAUUAAGGAAAACUAAUGAAAAAGGCUUGAAAACUUUGAGUUUUAACGAUAAUGAUAAAAUAAAGGAUAAAGUGAAUAUUACUAGGAUUGACUUCUUGGUGUAAAUGUGGUUUUUCGUUAAAGUGAACAGUAUUGGGAGAUUUUCAUUAGAGUUCCCUUAAUAUUAAUGGUCCAAAUCUGUAAUCCUUAUCUUAGAUUGCUAAAAUGAAACUCAAAAUGAACAAUGCUAAGUAUACAUGUGUAUGCUAUCUUCGCUUGCGAAACUCAAGCAGUUUGCAAAAGCUGAGAAACUCUAUACUGAAUAGGACUUUGUUUCGGAGACUCUAGGGUUUCAAAUAUACUUCUUGCAGCGUACAUCAAAGAAGACCAAACGAAAGGACUGAAACCUUUCAUAGUCGGAUGGAGCAAAAUAUACUUCUUCUGUAUUUUCCCUGUGAAACCAACUUCAAAACUGAUUGUACAAAUUAAAAAAUUUCAAACAUUCAAUUACCCGGAAACCAAAAAUGAAAAUUUUAUUAAAUUAAAUUAAAAUAAAUCAUUGGCAAAAAGAACAUAAAAAUGAAAAUUUCUACUAAAUUAAUUAAAAUAAACUAAUACGCAAGAGGAACAAAGGCAACCUUUUGAAUUAAUCUAAAGAGAUGCAAACUAAAAAUACCGGUCUUGCCAUCAAACAGUGAAUCUAAGAGAGAUAAUUUAGAAAGAAAAUAGGCUUCGUAGGCAAAAUACUGGAAUACGAUGUUGAACAAAAUGACCAAGAUCACCAAACAUCCUACAUCCUUCAUCGACUUCUUCCAUAUUGGGACCAGCACCGCUGCCACCAGCAGGAGGAACAUCUUCAUCCAUGGCGCCACCGACAUCAGGU